rnacentral:rRNA from 1 species
UACGAAGGGGGCUAGCGUUGCUCGGAAUCACUGGGCGUAAAGCGCACGUAGGCGGCUUCUUAAGUCAGGGGUGAAAUCCUGGAGCUCAACUCCAGAACUGCCCUUGAUACUGAGGAGCUCGAGUCCGGAAGAGGUGAGUGGAACUGCGAGUGUAGAGGUGAAAUUCGUAGAUAUUCGCAAGAACACCAGUGGCGAAGGCGGCUCACUGGUCCGGUACUGACGCUGAGGUGCGAAAGCGUGGGGAGCAACAGGG